CCACCGAAAAAGGACAAAACUGCCCCCGCCUCUUCUUUUCGUGGUUUCAUAGUGUAUUUCUUCAGCGAUACCAAAGAGUUGGGGUUUAGAGGCGAUGAUGGGGGUUUAGAUUCAUUCAAAUAAUGCUCAAAUCGUCUGAGAAGAUAAGGAGAGCAUGUAAUGACUCAGUGGAAGCGGAAGCUGCAUCAAUAGCCAUCCGCAUUGGAGUUCUUCGCAAUUGGAAACCGUAUCAUUAUGGAGAAGAUCGUUGUUAUCUACUAAUCGACAAAUACAUAAGUCUUUCUAUACAAACUAUUUCAACUUUUGUAUCACUACAUGUUGCAUAAUUUUUACACAUUUUGUUAUCGGGGAGAUGCCAUCCAAGAUUUUUUUAACCAAGGCAUUGAACAAUACCCAGCAAAGUCACUACAUUUGAAAGUCGCAGAACACGAGGCAACUGUCAUGAAAUCCAGACAGAGGUUAAGUGGACUACCGGGAACAACAAUGGACUGGCAAGGAGCUCCAGCAAGUCCAGGUGUACCAAGUGCAUACAUCGGGAAGAGAAUCUUGCGGUUAGAGAUACCAAUUGAUACCUAUCCAAAUGUAUGUGCUCUUCAUUUGUACAUUCCUUCAUUUCAACUUAAUUUAUGAAUCUUCCGAGUUCGAUAUUGAUCUUUUUGGAUAUUAUUUUAAUUUUGUUGGAAUGCUUAUUGAUCCUAGAGGCAAUUCGCUAAAACCGGUCGACGGUACAUCAGGUUGUCUGGUGUAUAUAGGAGGAACAGGGUUGAUCAAGGAUCCAUAACAGGUAAUUUUAUACCAUUGAGGGUGUUUUCUUUAAAAUGACACCAGGCUGCUUUGUGGUGCUGUUCACAGUGGGUAGAAGCAUAUGGGUCAAAAUGUGAUUUUAUAGGGGUAUCAAGCUUUGGAACAUUGGGACACUUUUGAUUGGUGCGUUAGUUCAUGAAACUGAAUGCAACUCUUUAAAGUCAUAGAUUAGGAUCUGUCAACAUGUGAUACAAGAUUAAUACACUAUUGAUUGGUGGAUCAAUUCAUGAAACAUUGUUUUAGUUGUCAUGGAAACAAUAAUGAACACUUACAUGGUUCUGCUUCAUUUUUAUCAUAAACAAGACUUAGAUGUUUUUAUUUUG